rnacentral:rRNA from 1 species
AACCUGCCCAAGAGAUCGGGAUAACACCUGGAAACAGAUGCUAAUACCGGAUAACAACAGAUGAUGCCUAUCAACUGUUUAAAAGAUGGUUCUGCUAUCACUCUUGGAUGGACCUGCGGUGCAUUAGCUAGUUGGUAGGGUAACGGCCUACCAAGGCGAUGAUGCAUAGCCGAGUUGAGAGACUGAUCGGCCACAUUGGGACUGAGACACGGCCCAAACUCCUAAGGGAGGCAGCAGGG